AGAGUUUGAUCCUGGCUCAGGACGAACGCUGGCGGCGUGCUUAACACAUGCAAGUCGAACGGGCUUCUUCGGAAGUUAGUGGCGAACGGGUGAGUAACACGUGGGUGAUCUGCUGCACUUCGGGAUAAGCUUGGGAAACUGGGUCUAAUACCGGAUAUGAUCACAGGCUUCAUGGUUUGUGGUGGAAAGCUUUUGCGGUG
rnacentral:rRNA from 1 species